rnacentral:rRNA from 1 species
CCCUUAGAUGUUCUGGGCCGCACGCGCGCUACACUGACGAAUGCAACGAGCUUAUAACCUUGGCCGAAAGGUCUGGGUAAUCUCCAAAUUUCGUCGUGAUGGGGAUAGAUUAUUGCAAUUAUUAAUCUUCAACGAGGAAUGCCUAGUAAGCGCAAGUCAUCAGCUCGUGCUGAUUACGUCCCUGCCCUUUGUACACACCGCCCGUCGCACCUACCGAUUGAAUGGUCCGGUGAAAUCUCGGGACGGCGGCUUGGUCGCUUGCGUCCGACUGCUGAAACUUGAUUAAACCAUAUCAUUUAGAGGAAGGUGAAGUCGUANCA